UACGGAGGGUGCGAGCGUUGUCCGGAAUCACUGGGCGUAAAGGGUGCGUAGGCGGCCGUGCAAGUCUGGCGUGAAAGCCCCAGGCUCAGCCCGGGAAGUGCGCUCGAAACUGCGCGGCUCGAGUGCCGGAGGGGAGAGUGGAAUUCCUGGUGUAGCGGUGAAAUGCGUAGAUAUCAGGAGGAAUACCGGUGGCGAAAGCGACUCUCUGGACGGCAACUGACGCUGAGGCACGAAAGCGUGGGGAGCAAACAGG
rnacentral:rRNA from 1 species